ensembl:snRNA U6 U6 spliceosomal RNA
CCAAGAUAGUAGUGCUUAUAAUAGAACUGGACUGAUAUUGAUCAAGAUUAGCAUAGCCCCUGUGUAAAGAUAACACCCAAAGUUGUGAACUCUUCCAUAUUUUA